UAAGUAAGCUUUGAUCCAGAGAUUUCCGAAUGGGGAAACCCAGCAUGAGUUAUGUCAUGUUAUCGAUAUGUGAAUACAUAGCAUAUCAGAAGGCACACCCGGAGAACUGAAACAUCUUAGUACCCGGAGGAAGAGAAAGAAAAUUCGAUUCCCUUAGUAGCGGCGAGCGAAACGGGAAGAGCCCAAACCAACAAGCUUGCUUGUUGGGGUUGUAGGACACUCUAUACGGAGUUACAAAGGACGACAUUAGACGAAUCAUCUGGAAAGAUGAAUCAAAGAAGGUAAUAAUCCUGUAGUCGAAAAUGUUGUCUCUCUUGAGUGGAU
rnacentral:rRNA from 1 species